rnacentral:rRNA from 1 species
AACGAACGCUGGCGGCAUGCCUAACACAUGCAAGUCGAACGAAGCCUUCGGGCUUAGUGGCGCACGGGUGCGUAAAGCGUGGGAAUCUGCCCUUGGGUUCGGAAUAACAGUUAGAAAUGACUGCUAAUACCGGAUGAUGUCUUCGGACCAAAGAUUUAUCGCCCAAGGAUGAGCCCGCGUAGGAUUAGGUAGUUGGUGGGGUAAUGGCCCACCGAGCCGACGAUCCUUAGCUGGUCUGAGAGGAUGAUCAGCCACACUGGGACUGAGACACGGCCCAGACUCCUACGGGAGGCAGCAGUGGGGAAUAUUGGACAAUGGGCGAAAGCCUGAUCCAGCAAUGCCGCGUGAGUGAUGAAGGCCUUAGGGUUGUAAAGCUCUUUUACCAGGGAUGAUAAUGACAGUACCUGGAGAAUAAGCUCCGGCUAACUCCGUGCCAGCCGCCGCCGUAACAC